rnacentral:rRNA from 1 species
UAGGGAAUCUUCCGCAAUGGGCGAAAGCCUGACGGAGCAACGCCGCGUGAGUGAUGAAGGUCUUCGGAUCGUAAAACUCUGUUAUUAGGGAAGAACAAAUGUGUAAGUAACUAUGCACGUCUUGACGGUACCUAAUCAGAAAGCCACGGCUAACUACGUGCCAGCAGCCGCGGUAAUACGUAGGUGGCAAGCGUUAUCCGGAAUUAUUGGGCGUAAAGCGCGCGUAGGCGGUUUUUUAAGUCUGAUGUGAAAGCCCACGGCUCAACCGUGGAGGGUCAUUGGAAACUGGCAAACUUGAGUGCAGAAGAGGAAAGUGGAAUUCCAUGUGUAGCGGUGAAAUGCGCAGAGAUAUGGAGGAACACCAGUGGCGAAGGCGACUUUCUGGUCUGUAACUGACGCUGAUGUGCGAAAGCGUGGGGAUCAAACAG